rnacentral:rRNA from 1 species
GACGAACGCUGGCGGCGUGCCUAACACAUGCAAGUCGAGCGAGUGAAUCUCCUUCGGGAGUGAAACUAGCGGCGGACGGGUGAGUAACACGUGGGCAACCUGCCUCAUAGAGGGGAAUAGCCUUUCGAAAGGAAGAUUAAUACCGCAUAAGAUUGUAGCUUCGCAUGAAGUAGCAAUUAAAGGAGUAAUCCGCUAUGAGAUGGGCCCGCGGCGCAUUAGCUAGUUGGUGAGGUAACGGCUCACCAAGGCGACGAUGCGUAGCCGACCUGAGAGGGUGAUCGGCCACAUUGGGACUGAGACACGGCCCAGACUCCUACGGGAGGCAGCAGUGGGGAAUAUUGCACAAUGGGGGAAACCCUGAUGCAGCAACGCCGCGUGAGUGAUGACGGCCUUCGGGUUGUAAAGCUCUGUCUUCAGGGACGAUAAUGACGGUACCUGAGGAGGAAGCCACGGCUAACUACGUGCCAGCCGCCGCUGUAAUAC